GCGUGGAGGGUUUUGAGUAAAGGUUCGAGUUGGGCGAAGGAUUUUCGGAGCCAUAGGAUGCUUGUGAGAACGGGGAUGUGGAAAGGACCGGGAGGGAGAGUGGCGGUUUUGGUGGUGGUGGUGGUGAGGGUGGAGACGGUGGCUCUGAUGAGGAAGAUGAUGCAGAGAGAGAGUAGCGCUAUGAAUGACCGGGAGGGAGAGUGGCGGUUUUGGUGGUGGUGGUGGUGAGGGUGGAGACGGUGGCUCUGAUGAGGAAGAUGAUGCAGAGAGAGAGUAGCGCUAUGAACCACGUUUCCAUUAUUAGUGUAAGUGUUUG
rnacentral:lncRNA from 1 species